rnacentral:rRNA from 1 species
AGCGAACGCUGGCGGCAGGCUUAACACAUGCAAGUCGAGCGCCCCGCAAGGGGAGCGGCAGACGGGAGAGUAACACGUGGGAACAUACCUUUUGGUUCGGAACAACUGAGGGAAACUUCAGCUAAUACCGGAUAAGCCCUUACGGGGAAAGAUUUAUCGCCGAAAGAUUGGCCCGCGUCUGAUUAGCUAGUUGGUGAGGUAACGGCUCACCAAGGCGACGAUCAGUAGCUGGUCUGAGAGGAUGAUCAGCCUCACUGGGACUGAGACACGGCCCAGACUCCUACGGGAGGCAGCAGUGGGGAAUAUUGGACAAUGGGGGCAACCCUGAUCCAGCCAUGCCGCGUGAGUGAUGAAGGCCUUAGGGUUGUAAAGCUCUUUUGCCCGGGAAGAUAAUGACGGUACUGGGAGAAUAAGCCCCGGCUAACUUCGUG